rnacentral:rRNA from 1 species
GAAAAUGCUUAUUUUCCGCGGCCUAUCUUUAACCCUUUGUGUUUUCUACCAUGUUGCUUCCACUGGACAGGUUGGCUCGAAAAACUAGUCGUCGACCCUCCGGUUUCGGCUGGGGAGUGCCAGUGUGUAUAGCCCCCAAUCUAAAACUUCAUAAAAACCAUUUGAUAUCCAGUCUGAAUAAAUUGAAAUUGAAUAAAACUUUCAACAACGGAUCUCUAGGCUCUUGCAUCGAUGAAGAACGCAGUGAAAUGCGAUACGUAAUGUGAAUUGCAGAAUUUCGUGAAUCAUUGAAUCUUUGAACGCACAUUGCGCCUUAUGGUAUUCCAUAAGGCAUGCCUGUCUGAGUGUCAGCUAAGCCCCCCACUCAAGCAUUUUUGCUUGGAUUACUUUGGAAAAGCCAUUUGUCCAAUAGAUGGCUUUCCAUAAAAGCAUAGGCAGUAUGGAGUUUCCCAUGGCUGAACGUAAUAAUGAAAAACAUCACGUUUGCUUUGGAGCUUCAAUGGAGCCCUCAACCCACCAAUUUU